ensembl:lncRNA
AAAAUAGGAGCAAGUUGGCAAAGAGCAGGUUGAUAGUAAACACUGAGCCCAAGCCGUAACAACAUGUCCGAAUGGCGUAACAUUCGGACAUUAAUCCUUCUUUUGUUCUUUUCAUUUGUUCCUCUUGUUGUUUGUUUCUGCAGCAAAGAUAAUUGGAAGUUGAUUCACGGAUGUUUUGAAGGGAACAGAAGGGAAAUGUCACAGCAUACACCUGGAAGGGCACAUUGUGGAUGGUUUGUCAUCGCUGUCCAUUUGUCUUCGAACCAGGUUCACCACAGACACCGCCAUGCCAGCCAGACAGGAUACCCGAACACUUAGAGAACCAAUAGGGCUGUCGCUUUGUGUGUUUGCUGCUUGAUUUAAUAGAUUUCAAUUUCUUGUAGCUAAUAAUAAUGAAUCUCCUUUGUCCUCUCGAACGUGGGCGCAUCAGAACUGCUGGUGAUUUAGUGAAAGCCUUCCCCUCUCCUUCAUGGUAUGCCAUAGUACUUGCAUUUGAAGUGAUUUUUUUUCAACAUCAUCUUGAACUUUUUGACAUGGCUGUAGUACAUGUGUUUAUUUUUAGAGAUUGUUGCAAUAAUUCUUGUUGAUGUUUUAUCAGAGCGUGUGCGUGCGCGUGUGUGUUUUUAUUAUAUGUCAGGCUCAUUUCUGUUUUAUAACCUGGGGGUUGAUGUACAGUGAUAUUUAGUAUUUUGUUGAGGUGGUUGCACCUGUGUAAAGUGUUGCAACACUGCUGAAGAUGAUAAGUGUUGAGUUGACGAUGAUCCACUGGGGGCCCUUAUCGAUACGUGCUCGUCUUGAGGAUGCCACACCCAGGUUUGAAAUCCAGCGGUCCCCCGAUGGGCCCCAGAGUGGUCUUUUAUCCCGGUACUUUCCUCAAAGCUCUCCCCUCCCCAUCAGCUCCAGCAUGCAAGCCUCGGGUCCAGGCGCUUAAAGAUGUGAUUACAUAGUAUGUUGCUGGUUACGUCGUUCGUUGUCUUUUUAUUUGAUAUUAUUUUACCUACUUAAUUUCCUCUGGGUCAUUGGGGCCUUAGCGCACACACACACACAUAAGGGAAGUGAUUUUCCAUGGAAGUCUUUUAGCUCCUCUGUUAUGACACAAACUACUGAAACAUUCCACUGUUUUGAGGGAAUUUGGCAUUACCCACGCUACACUGCUGUCCAGACCCCACUCCCCCACUCUUUUCAGGAUGGGGCUAAUGUUGACACACUCUGACUCUUUUGCUUGUCCCACCAAAGACUUUUACAGAUCGAUCAUGUACAGCACAGCACAGUACAAGCAAUCCUCCACAGCAUUGCAGACAGGCAAUAACUUCUGGUCUCAUCUUUAAAUGCUUUACAAGUGCUUUUGAGGACAUGUUGUUUCACCACCAUGAAAUGUAUAUGUGUGUACAACGUACGAAUGCACGGGGAGGAUUUGGCAUACUUCUUGCAAACAGCACAGCUAUUUGUUUCUGGACAUUUAACCAUUAGAAGAGCUGCAAUGUGUUUGAAAGCUUUUGUUUUUUUAAUGUUUCACUUUGAUUUUUCCUCAUAUUUGGCCCCUGUUUAGAUUAAAUCAAUAAUUGUCUAAAAUGAUCAAUUUUUCUGUUGUUGAUGUUGUAGCUUUAUUAGCAGUGUAAGAAAAUUAAUUUUAAAGGUUGCCAUUGAGGAGACUGGCCGGUUAAUUAUUAUGGAAAUAAUCAAAAAUAUACCAAGUAUACCUUUAAAAGCGUGGUCACCUGCACAAAAUGAAUGUAAUAUGUGACCUGUGAGUGAAAGGCAAUGGCAGGAAUGGCUUUAGAUCUUUCUCCGUGGGUGACCAUUAGUUUCAUUUCGACACCAUUUGUGGCCAUGCAUGAUGCAAUAACUAAACAUUUGUUCUCCAGCGAGCUCCCACAUGAGACUAAUUAUGUAAAGUUACCGGUAUCGCGAGUUGGGGAUAUUGAAUAAUCGCUAUUUUCUCAAAUCAAACAAACACGGUGAAAAAUAACUUGAUGUGUACGAAACAUUUGUCUAUCGUUCAGUUUCACUUAACCAAUGUUUUGUGUUUUCUAUGAAAAAAGAGGGGAAUAAGAAUAUGAGCAUUAAUGUAGAUCGAGUGACCUUACAAUUACCAAAAUGUGCUUAAGUAGAGUAUAAAAAUGUUUUCUGUUGCUGUGGUGAGUGUAGCCUUCCCAGCAACAACUUUAUUCUUAAGUACUGCCUUCCAAAUAACCAAUAAUACCUCCAAAGCUUUAAGGUGACGUUUAAAUUAGAGAAAACAUAAGGCAGCAUCUUUCUCUCUCUCUUUAUGAAGCCUGGCAUUCUCCUGAGAUACACUCAAACUUCCACUUUUGCCCACGGUGUCAUCUCACAUACUCGUCGUCCCGGAGCUUUGGAAACACUGAGAAACAUUCCUGCGAGCGCGGCGCACGCAGUGCUACAUUAGUCUUCUUCGAACAAACUCCUCCAAGCUGGCUCGAAGCUUAGUAAGCGAACAAGCAACCUGCAACGUCAAAUCACACGCUUGUACGUCAUUUGGCAAAGUCACAGCUGCUUCCCAAAGUACAAAGGAGUUUAAGGACAGGUGUUAGGUGGUCAAGGUUUGAUGCCGUCACUGACACUGGCGUCAAGUUAUUGAAACUUAAAAAAGUGAUUUCUUUACGUACUGAGUUAAAAUUCAUUUGAUCUGCACCAGCCGAUUACCCCAAUCUGCAAUCUUAUGAGAUGUUGGGGUCCACAUUGAAGAACUUUAAACAUUUGGGUUAUUUUACCGGAAUACUUGGUAGACCAAAGCUACUACAUUCAAAGAUGGAUUUCCUUGUUUGUCUUAAUCUUAGGAUCACAGUCCCUUUUGGGAUCCUUGGUAUAAUCAAAUUAUAAUAAUCAAGUUAUAGUAGUUUUAAAUAACUACUCGCACAAAGAAGGCGAUAAUUCAGUUUGUUAACAUUUUCUAAAGACCUAAGAGCGCGUCAAACCCUGACCCCCUUUUGUGUCCAUUGCUGUAUGGUUUAUCAAUGGUGUAAAAUCUCAUUCUUUGUCGAUGAAGCUAAUGUGUGCUGCAGUAUUUCCUAGUAUACUUCUCUGUUUAUUGUCUUUUCUUAUUUACUUUGGUUUAUUGGGGUGUGAUGUCUCAUUAUUUCAAUCUGUUGACGUAGCGUUCAAUGUAUACCCUGUUCCUUAGCCUAAUAUUAAGUAUGUUAUGAGAAUGGAUAUUUUACUGGCUUUAUAGAAUGUUUAAAUAAAUAUAAUAAUGACAAUAAGAAAAAGGAUUAAUUAAACCUCCUAACAAGUUGAGUACUUGCUACUAAGCGCUUGUGUUACCAUUAUGAUGUCGUGUGCUUCUCUUAAUCAUUUUCGUUGUAGAAAAAUGGAGUGAAUUUAUAUUAGGCUUCGAAAAAACUAAUGAUAGCAUUGUAAAUUUUACAGGAGGAUUUUAACAGACAAACAGCUUCGUCAAAUAGAAGAAUAUAGUUAUUUUAAUUGUCCUCUUUACUAACUGUAGGGUGACAAGGGGCUCCCGUUGUGGUGAACUAUGUUAUAGCUUGUUAUUCACUGUUACUUUUGAUCAUUUUUUCGGUCUCCGAGGUGAAUCGAGUUAUUAAUGAGAAUUUGUAUGCUCACAUAUGCAUAUUGUAUAUGUGUAGAAAUGUAAUCACACUUUGUCUUGGAUUUACAUUAAACUGUUAAGUCACAGCA